UACGUAGGGUGCGAGCGUUAAUCGGAAUUACUGGGCGUAAAGCGUGCGCAGGCGGCCCGUUAAGACAGGUGUGAAAUCCCUGGGCUCAACCUAGGAAUUGCGCUUGUGACUGGCGGGCUCGAGUACGGUAGAGGGGGGUGGAAUUCCUGGUGUAGCAGUGAAAUGCGUAGAGAUCAGGAGGAACACCGAUGGCGAAGGCAGCCCCCUGGGCCUGUACUGACGCUCAUGCACGAAAGCGUGGGGAGCAAACAGG
rnacentral:rRNA from 1 species